UACUUUCCGCAUUCAAAGUGA
ensembl:piRNA 21ur-3524 ncRNA